rnacentral:rRNA from 1 species
GACGUAGGGCGCGAGCGUUGUCCGGAUUUAUUGGGCGUAAAGAGCUCGUAGGCGGCUUGUCGCGUCGUCCGUGAAAACCCACAGCUCAACUGUGGGCUUGCGGUCGAUACGGGCAGGCUAGAGUUCGGUAGGGGAGACUGGAAUUCCUGGUGUAGCGGUGAAAUGCGCAGAUAUCAGGAGGAACACCAAUGGCGAAAGCAGCUUUCUGGGACGGUACUGACGCUGAGACGCGAAAGCGUGGGGAGCGAACAGG